CAUGAUAUAUUGAUAUCACACUAUGAUUUCACAAAAUCAUGAUACCACACAACCAUAGUGCAAAAUCAAGAUAUCAUGAUCUCAUGAUUGUGUGGCAUCAUGAUUUCAUGAAAUCAUAGUGUGAUAUCAAUAUAUCAU
rnacentral:miRNA from 1 species